AUUUCAACCUUCCUUAACUAAAAGGAAAGGAUCAUCUUUAAGAAAGGCUCUGAAUUAAAUAAGAUGAAGCAAGCACACUCCAGCAGACCUCCGUUUGGCGAUCCAGCACUUUAGCAGCAUGAAGCCAGCCUCAGCAUGCUGUGAACAUAUUCAAAGCAACUUCAUGGUCACCAGUCAUCUAUGUCUUUUCAAUGGACUCUGAAGACUGGAGGAAAGAGUGAGGCUGAUAAUUCUGAAUAGAUCAAUCUCACUUCAAUCCGAUUCAUCUACAAGUCAGCACAUUACCUGCAUCUGAUGUCAUUGGUCUUGCUUCAAGAACAGAGAACAACAAUUUCUACAUCAUACAAUCAACCUAAUCUACAAACAUUUGAGUUGUGUCUGUGAGCUUCUUAAAAGCAGAGGUAAAAAGGGAAAGCAUUCCAAGAAUGGUGGAUAGCCAGUGCAAAAAGACAGAAAUUAUUAUUGGAGUGUCACAUGGAUGGAAGUGGAAACAGUGAGGUGAUUCAGGCCAGUUCCAACAGUUUUGUGAUGAAGAGAG
rnacentral:lncRNA from 1 species